rnacentral:lncRNA from 1 species
AUUCUGAUUAAGCAACUUGAAGGCCCUCGAGAUCCAGCUGCAACUGCCUGGGACCGGCGGCCAGCAAAAGAAAUCCACCUAGAACUUGAGAGAACAGAGGGAAGGUGACAACCUUCAGGAGCCUCCUGAAGCAAAGACCGAGGUUGGCCACUGGAGUGCAGCACCGAGCAAGGGACACCGGACCUGUGGGGCGUGGUGGCAGCGUGUGUUGUCUUGUGUGUUGUCUUCCCUAUGGAGAUGGGGGCACACGUGCCCCACCUGCCUCCCUAGGCUGUGAUCUGGAAAACUGCCUUCAUUUCCUGCACAGUGCCAAGAGGAGACUGCUGCCUGGCCAACGUGCUCAGCCCUUGGCCUCUCCUCGAGGUAAAGCUCUUCCCUUCUUGGAGAUGUCUUUUCCUUGGGGCUUCUGGAAAAACCUUGAGCAGCGCUCCAUGGUCUUGGAGACCUCUGUCAGGGUCACGUUUGAGUUGGGUGGUGGCAACUUUCCUCCUCCAGAGCACUCUAGAGUGCUCCAGCACUUUGGAAAACACUAAUAUUUCACAGGAUCCCAGAUUGGCUCAUACCAACUCCCCCACCCACCCCCUGUCUCUUCUCACUCUUUUUGCUACUCUGGAGUCCAAAAGAUGUGGGACGAGGCUGUAUGGCUAAUAAAGACGAGACUAAGGCUCUAUAGUAACUGGUCUGUUGUUCUCAGGUUUCAUAUGCUAGAUUUUAUGACUAUGGUGAAUAAUUC